UAUCUACUGUCCACCUCCCAGUACCAACAUAUCUAUCUACUGUCACCUCCCAGUACCAACAUAUCUAUCUACUGUCACCUCCCAGUACCAACAUAUCUAUCUACUGUCACCUCCCCAGUACCAACAUAUCUAUCUACUGUCACCUCCCAGUACCAACAUAUCUAUCUACUGUCACCUCCCAGUACCAACAUAUCUAUCUACUGUCACCUCCCAGUACCAACAUAUCUAUCUACUGUCACCCUCCCAGUACCAACAUAUCUAUCUACUGUCACCUCCCAGUACCAACAUAUCUAUCUACUGUCACCUCCCAGUACCAACAUAUCUAUCUACUGUCACCUCCCAGUACCAACAUAUCUAUCUACUGUCACCUCCCAGUACCAACAUAUCUAUCUACUGUCACCUCCCAGUACCAACAUAUCUAUCUACUGUCACCCUCCCAGUACCAACAUAUCUAUCUACUGUCACCUCCCAGUACCAACAUAUCUAUCUACUGUCACCUCCCAGUACCAACAUAUCUAUCUACUGUCACCUCCCAGUACCAACAUAUCAUAUCUAUCUACUGUCCACCUCCCAGUACCAACAUAUCUAUCUACUGUCACCUCCCAGUACCAACAUAUCUAUCUACUGUCACCUCCCAGUACCAACAUAUCUAUCUACUGUCACCUCCCAGUACCAACAUAUCUAUCUACUGUCACCUCCAGUACCAACAUAUCUAUCUACUGUCACCUCCCAGUACCAACAUAUCUAUCUACUGUCACCUCCCAGUACCAACAUAUCUAUCUACUGUCACCUCCCAGUACCAACAUAUCUAUCUACUGUCACCUCCCAGUACCAACAUAUCUAUCUACUGUCACCUCCCAGUACCAACAUAUCUAUCUACUGUCACCUCCCAGUACCAACAUAUCUAUCUACUGUCACCUCCCAGUACCAACAUAUCUAUCUACUGUCACCUCCCAGUACCUGUACCAACAUAUCUAUCUACUGUCACCUCCCAGUACCUGUACCAACAUAUCGAUCUACUGUCACCUCCCAGUACCUGUACCAACAUAUCGAUCUACUGUCACCCUCUCAGUACCUGUAGAAACAUAUCUAUCAGCUCAUGAUGACCAGAGAAGAUCCAACGUGAGUGUGCCAAAGGGCACCUUAUUCCCUAGAUAA
rnacentral:lncRNA from 1 species